AACGCACGAGACCUGCGGACCUGCGGAGGGAUCAUUACUGAGUUUCACAACUCUCUAACCCUGUGUGAACUGAAGUCUGGUUGCUCAGGCAGGCGGCCCCCGGGGGGAGCCGCAGCUUCUCUGAAGCGCCUGCCGGAGGAUACCUAAACUCGUUUUAACAUAUAAUCUUCUGAGUAAUAAAAAAAAUGAAUCAAAACUUUUAACAACGGAUCUCU
rnacentral:misc_RNA from 1 species